GACAUAGGUGGCGAACGUUAUCCGGUUUUAUUGGGCGUAAAGGGUGCGUAGAUGGUGAAACAAGUUAGCGGUGGGAAAUCAGGGCUCAACCCUGUGGAAGCCGGUAAUACUGUUUUGCUUGAGGACAGGAGAGGUUGAUGGAAUUCCAUGUGUAGCGGUAAAAUGCUAAGAUAUCCGGAGGAACACCGGUGGCGAAGGCGGCUUCCUGGACCGACACUGACGCUGAGGCGCGAAAGCUAGGGGAGCAAACGGG
rnacentral:rRNA from 1 species